GAUGAACGCUGGCGGCGUGCCUAAUACAUGCAAGUCGAGCGAACAGACGAGGAGCUUGCUCCUCUGACGUUAGCGGCGGACGGGUGAGUAACACGUGGAUAACCUACCUAUAAGACUGGGAUAACUUCGGGAAACCGGAGCUAAUACCGGAUAAUAUAUUGAACCGCAUGGUUCAAUAGUGAAAGACGGUUUUGCUGUCACUUAUAGAUGGAUCCGCGCCGCAUUAGCUAGUUGGUAGGGUCCGGCUUACCAAGGGAACGCUGCGUAGCCGACCUGAGAGGGUGAUAGGCCACACUGGAACUGAGACACGGUCCAGACUACUACGGGAGGCAGCAGUAGGGAAUCGUCCGCAAUGGGCGAAAGCUUGACGGAGCAACGCCGCGUGAGUUAUGAAGGUCUUCGGAUCGUAAAACUCUGUUAUUAGGGAAGAACAAAUGUGUAAGUAACUAUGCACGUCUUGACGGUACCUAAUCAGAAAGCCACGGCUAACUACGUG
rnacentral:rRNA from 1 species